CGUUAGGACGAACGCUGGCGGCGUGCCUAAUACAUGCAAGUCGAGCGCGGGAAGCGGACUCGUCACCCUUCGGGGUGUCUAGUCCGUGGAACGAGCGGCGGAUGGGUGAGUAUCACGUGGGCAACCUGCCUGUAAGAUUGGGAUAACUCGCGGAAACGUGAGCUAAUACCGAAUGAAGUCUUUCACCGCCUGGUGAAAGGAUGAAAGAUGGCUUUUAGCUAUCACUUACAGAUGGGCCCGCGGCGCAUUAGCUAGUUGGUGGGGUAAAGGCCUACCAAGGCGACGAUGCGUAGCCGACCUGAGAGGGUGAUCGGCCACACUGGGACUGAGACACGGCCCAGACUCCUACGGGAGGCAGCAGUAGGGAAUCUUCCGCAAUGGACGAAAGUCUGACGGAGCAACGCCGCGUGAGUUGAUGAAGGUCUUCGGAUCGUAAAACUCUGUUGUCAGGGAAGAACAAGUUGUGUUCUAACAGGACAUGACCUUGACGGUACCUGACCAGAAAGCCCCGGCUAACUACGUGCCAGCCGCAGC
rnacentral:rRNA from 1 species